rnacentral:rRNA from 1 species
AGUGAACGCUGGCGGUAGGCCUAACACAUGCAAGUCGAACGGCAGCACAGUAAGAGCUUGCUCUUACGGGUGGCGAGUGGCGGACGGGUGAGGAAUACAUCGGAAUCUACUUUUUCGAGGGGGAUAACGUAGGGAAACUUACGCUAAUACCGCAUACGACCUACGGGUGAAAGCAGGGGAUCUUCGGACCUUGCGCGAGUGUAUGAGCCGAUGUCGGAUUAGCUAGUUGGCGGGGUAAAGGCCCACCAAGGCGACGAUCCGUAGCUGGUCUGAGAGGAUGAUCAGCCACACUGGAACUGAGACACGGUCCAGACUCCUACGGGAGGCAGCAGUGGGGAAUAUUGGACAAUGGGCGCAAGCCUGAUCCAGCCAUACCGCGUGGGUGAAGAAGGCCUUCGGGUUGUAAAGCCCUUUUGUUGGGAAAGAAAAGCAGCAGGUUAAUACCCCGCUGUUCUGACGUUACCCAAAGAAUAAGCACCGGCUAACUUCGUG